UUGCAAUACGGCUUUUGUACUUUUUCAUACAUUUAAUUUUGAGCACGCUGAACAGAACACAGUUUUGUGACAGGUCGGCGAUUCUAACUACUGAGCCACGGAAAAAUAAACCUACAAUAGACAAAACAUAAACAUAAUAUUGAGUUUUAUUUCACAUAAUAAAACAAAAAUCUGACGAAUUCACUGUAUACUUUUCCAAUCAAUGACGUCACGUUCUGCCUAAUGUCACAGGCAGAAAAGCAGCUCUUUAACUGGCCAAACUUAAUCUCAACUGAAUUUGGCCAUGUCGACUGUCGGCUUUAACAUUGUCAAUACGAGUAUAUUGUUGGUCCUUUGUGCGCUUUUAAUAAAUUACAUUUCUUGUUGGGAUUUGAUUAACAAAAAGCACCCACAGCGCUUUGUGGUAAGCGGAAAUUGCAACAGGUGGAUGCCACAAAGCAAAAAUAAAAGGUUAAUUUUGAUAAAAUCGCCAUGAUAUUAAA